CAUUUUCUGAGAGUCAAUCGUGUACAGUAACAUUGAAGUAUUUUGAUGUGGCCAACCGCGCAUGCGUGUUAGCUCUCUCUCUCCACGUUGUUUUGGGCGAAGGUUGGGAAAGUUCUAGCUCCAAAUGUUCCGUUGGAAGUCGAGGUAUUUUCCUCUUUUCAUGUUCAUUGUGCAUGAAAGUGACUUGUCCGCAUUUGAUUCAGGAUCAGUUUGGUGCAGGUUAUACUGUACCGUUGCUAAGGACCGUGGUCCGCUAGCAUCGCGGGAAUCGAGAGAGGGCAGCGCAUGGUCUCGGGUCCGGUCUGGGUGAGUUAUACGUACAUGUAAUAUGAUAGGGCUUUGAGGGAAACAGUAUCCAUUUAUCUUUUAUAUUACUAGUUUAUCAUGGAAAGAGAUUGAAUCAUUGAAUUGUAUUUUAUUUUGCAUCAAUAGGGGAUUCGAUUCGAUUCGAUUCGAUUGGAUUGAUUGGCGGAAGGGAUUGAUUGUCAGACGGAUUGGAUUGGAUUGAUUGAUUUAUACUGAAGAUUUGGGAUCUGGAUUUUUGGAGAAAUAUCUUCUGGAUUUGUAGAGGGUUUCUACAGGGAUUUCCACACAUACUAAUUAAUUACAUAUAAAUAAAUAAAUUCUGAGCUGCAAUAUUUGAGUCACUGGAUCACUUUAUUUAGAACUGACUGCCAAUUAUUCACCAGGGUACACACCCUACCCCAGUUUGUUAGCACACGCUCAAACUACCCCAGGGAGCGCACCACUAGGCGCGCCCUUACACAGUCAAAAUCAAUCAAGUGACUGUUUUCAACAGUUAAGAAUUCCCAGCCUAAAUAUAAAGCAGAAUUGACUGGCUGUGACCGUAAAUAUAACUUGAUAAAGCUUUAAUUGCUUUGGCUGUGUGUAACCGAUAAGCUAGCUGCGCCUACAAGUUGGUCUGUACACGGUUGACUGACUUUGACUGGUCACAUAGACUGCUCGUUGGAAAUCACCAUGUUUCUUGAUUUCUUCGAAAUGAAAGCCAGCCAGACGGAGUAUUUUCUAGGGGUGUUUAGUACCAGUGUCACAUUUGAUCUGUAAUUUUCGUAUUUUGAUAUGUAAUGUUCUUAUUUUACCAGUAAGUUUGUACAAGUUGUUCCUUUAAGUGAAUAAAGUUUCUUUAAGAACCAGUCUGUGUGUAUUUAUUUCCCCAAUACCCUGAUUGGCUAAUAGUUUGGGCCUAAUGAAUAUUUAAUCAGGUCUUGCUCUCACAUGCUUUCUGUUUCUCAGUUGAGUGAAUGUACCUGAUAAGGACAUAUGUGGUAUAUGGUUGAUUGUAUGAGUUUUGCUGGAAUGUGCCUUUUGUUGAGUGCCAUGGUUAGUGGAGCUUGAAAUUUUUGUCAGUGUUACUUGGGGUGCGGCCUAGUCAGUUGAGACGAGAGACCGAUAGCAGAAGAGUCAAUAUUUCGCAGGACCUUUGAGUUUUGCUUUGCCAAAAAUAUCCAGUGUGUCAUUGCCUAAAAAGUGCUGACUAUUUAAACAGCCUUGUGUGACAAGCAGAUUCUCUGAUAUAUUCGAGUGAAGAAACUCCUAACCGUAAGUUUACACAAAUUUUGGUUUUAUUAUUCGUCACCAUUUUCACGUUUAUUUUUCUUUUAUAUGAUUGUAAUAAAUCUCAUAAUCGUUCAUAAAGACAGUGUAAGAUUAAGGUACUUUGUGAAAACAUGAAGAUAAAAUAAUUCUGUUUUUCUUUAGGACUAAAAAUUUAAGGUUUCGAUUUAGUGAAUUAGAUAUUGGUAUAAUAUUAAUUCUUUAGAUGGCACGUAAUUCCGGGAUUUGAAGUAGAGCCACUUUUACACCAUCUAUGUUGCGUGCCGAGAUCUACUGUGAUGUCCGCGGAACAUUUAGGACUGAGAAUGUAUCAAGUGUCGGGAAAAUUUUGUAAAUAUUAAUAUUUCCUGAGGUAAAACUUGCUAAAAACAGUAGAAGGUUCAUGGCAUAUGUAAAUUGAAGUUGGAAGAUUUUCACAAGAUUUUGAAGAGCUCAGUUGGAGGAAAAGUUCAAUUCUAUAGUGAGGUUCACAAUUGAGGUUAUUCUUGAUUGUCGUUAAUUGAUAUCGAGGUUUUCAGUGGAAGAUUGUAAAACGGUUUAGAUUGAAAGUUUGAUUUGAAAACUCAAAAAAGGUUUACCCGCGUUGAAGACUGAUGAAAUUUGAUGUGAAAUUUGGAAGUUGAAAACAGAAAUUAAAUUCGAUAUAGAUAUUGGAGUUGAAGUUGUUGGGUUGAUACAUUGUAGAAUUUGAGAUUAUUUUUAGUAGACGUUUUGAGACUGUAUUUUGGAAGAGAUUUUGAAGACGGUUAAUUUCUUGGAAGUUUAAGUGAGUUUCGUAUAGAUAUUGAAACUCAAGUGAAAUUUGCAAUUUAAGGUUAUUGAUCACAUUUCGAGAAAAUUUUGGUUUUGGAGAUUGGUUAUUGAUUAAUGGUUUGAGACCUGAUGUUUGCAGAUUGAGAAUUAGUUGAGAAUUGAUUGAUAUUGGAAAUUCUUGUAGUUGAAUUUGGAAGUGAUUUAUUUUUGAGAUUAUUAAUCUAUUGAAGGGUUGAGCAAUACCAAAUUUGAAGAAAUUUGCAGAUUGGGAAUUUAUUGGAAAUCUGUACGUGAAUUUGAAUAAGUCGAGUCGUAGAAAUUAUUUGGAUUUAUGAAUUUAUAUUUUGGGAUUUUGUGUAAAUAAAUUUGCUUGUAUAUUGUAUAUAGAAUAUU